rnacentral:rRNA from 1 species
AUGUAUCAGGAUCUACGCCAGAGGUUCUGGUGGACUAGGAUGAAGAGAGAAAUUGCUCAGUAUAUUGCAAAUUGCGACGUCUGUCGUCGUGUAAAAGCAGAGCAUCAACGGCCUGCUGGCACCCUUCAACCCUUAGCUAUUCCUGAAUGGAAAUGGGAUAAAAUUGGUAUGGAUUUCAUUACCGGCUUUCCCAGGACCAAAAGGGGGAAUAAUGCUAUUUUCGUCGUGGUCGAUCGUCUUUCCAAAGUAGCUCAUUUCUUACCUGUUCGUGAGAGUAUAACCGCUAGUCAGCUGGCAGACUUAUACAUCUCCCGAAUAGUGUCCCUCCAUGGUGUUCCUUUGGAAAUCAAUUCGGAUCGAGGAAGUCUUUUCACCUCUCGAUUUUGGGAAAGUUUCCAAAAUGCUAUGGGAACUCGUCUCUCCUUUAGCACCGCUUUCCACCCUCAGUCAAGUGGUCAAGUGGAACGCAUCAAUCAGAUUCUAGAAGACAUGCUUCGAGCCUCCGUUAUCUCUUUCGGAAUGGACUAG